UACGUAGGGUGCGAGCGUUGUCCGGAAUUACUGGGCGUAAAGGGCUCGUAGGCGGUUUGUCGCGUCGGGAGUGAAAACCUCGGGCUUAACUCGGGGCUUGCUUUCGAUACGGGCAGACUGGAGGUAUGCAGGGGAGAACGGAAUUCCUGGUGUAGCGGUGAAAUGCGCAGAUAUCAGGAGGAACACCGGUGGCGAAGGCGGUUCUCUGGGCAUGACCUGACGCUGAGGUGCGAAAGCGUGGGGAGCAAACAGG
rnacentral:rRNA from 1 species